rnacentral:rRNA from 1 species
GUAUCUGCCCUUUGGCCUGGAAUAACACGAGGAAACUUGUGCUAAUACCGGAUAAGUCUUUACGGAGAAAGCUUUAUGCACCAUUGGAUGAGCCUGCACUUGAUUAGUUUGUUGGUGGGGUAAUGGCCUACCAAGACUGUGAUCAAUAGCUGAUUUGAGAGGAUGAUCAGCCACAUUGGGACUGAGACACGGCCCAAACUCCUACGGGAGGCAGCAGUGGGGAAUCUUGCACAAUGGAGGAAACUCUGAUGCAGCGAUGCCGCGUGAGUGAAGAAGGCCCUUGGGUUGUAAAGCUCUUUCGUCGGGGAAG